rnacentral:rRNA from 1 species
GAUGAACGCUAGCUACAGGCUUAACACAUGCAAGUCGAGGGGUAACGGGAGGGAAGCUUGCUUUCCUUGUCGACGACCGGCGCACGGGUGAGUAACGCGUAUCCAACCUGCCCCCAACUAGGGAAUAACCUUGCGAAAGUAAGACUAAUACCCUAUAAUUUCCUCAGAUGUCAUCUGACGAGGAAUAAAGAUUUAUCGGUUGUGGAUGGGGAUGCGUCUGAUUAGCUUGUUGGCGGGGUAACGGCCCACCAAGGCAACGAUCAGUAGGGGUUCUGAGAGGAAGGUCCCCCACAUUGGAACUGAGACACGGUCCAAACUCCUACGGGAGGCAGCAGUGAGGAAUAUUGGUCAGUGGGCGGAAGCCUGAACCAGCCAAGUAGCGUGCAGGAUGACGGCCCUAUGGGUUGUAAACUGCUUUUAUACAGGAAUAAAGUUAGCCACGUGUGGUUAUUUGUAGGUACUGUAUGAAUAAGGACCGGCUAAUUCCGUGCCAGCAGCCGCCGUAAUAC